rnacentral:rRNA from 1 species
CCCUUAGAUGUUCUGGGCUGCACGCGCGCUACACUGAUGCGAUCAACAAGUUUUUCCUAUGUCGAUAGACACGGGUAAUCUUUUGAACUCGCAUCGUGAUGGGGAUAGAUUAUUGUAAUUAUUAAUCUUCAACGAGGAAUUCCUAGUAGGUGCAAAUCAUCAGUUUGCAUCGAUUACGUCCCUGCCCUUUGUACACACCGCCCGUCGCUGCUACCGAUUGGUUGAUCUGGUGGAUUAUUCGGACUGCCGGCUGAAGGGGUUUCCUCAUCUGCCAGCGGAAAGUCUUGUUAACCCUAUCAACUAGAGGAAGCAGAAGUCGUAACA